rnacentral:lncRNA from 1 species
GGCAGUCCUAGCCCCAAAGGCGGGAGUAGCUAGGUAACGGUGGGCAGUCCUGACUUAAAGGGAAAGGCGCGUCUAACAGAAACUUAACUCAGACAACAGAAACUUAAUGCUUAAGACGGCUACUAAUAUACAAUGGAGAAGGAAAGGAAAGAUUAAGCAACUGUGCAAAGAAGACAGUGAAGUGAAACGCUCCAAAGAGAGGGAGGUAGGAAAUGUUAUGAUACUCUGCAGAACGAUUCCUGCUCUCCACAUGGUCUGAGGUCCCAGUACUCUACAGUGAACCUAGAUAAAUUAUCAUUGUGCAUUGACAAACAGAAACGCCAAGACGUCACCCCGGAUUUAGAAGAUUUAUUAAUGUCAACAGACCUUACUGGGAAUCUUUCCCAAACUGUCAGGCCCCAAUACCUGAACAAGUCACACCUGGCCUCAAUAUUUGUUGACGCAAUGAUGACUUCACUAGAAAGCAUGAGCGAUGAGUCACUGCAUGGACUAUGUAAUUAAUAAUUAUGUAAUGAAUUAAUUGUGGCAAAG